GCACAUGGAGUUCCCAGGCCAAGGAUCAGAUCCAAGCCACAGCUAUGACCUAAGCUACAGCUGUGGCAACACCAGACCCCUGACCCUCUGUGCGGGGCCAGGAAUCGAACCUGCAUCCCAGUGCCCCCAAGACACUGCUGAUCCCAUUGUGCCACAGCAGGAACUCCGAUUUGUAUUCUUUAAUAUCCUUUUAUGAAAUCUUGGGGGACAUAGGAACCGCGGAUUUAUAACAGGGUGGUCAGAAGCACAGGUAACAACCUGCGUUUGUGUCUCAUGGGACUGAGCGCUUUACCUGUGGAAUGUGCUUCUAUCUCCAGGUAGAUAGUGUGAGAGUUGAGCUGAGUUCUCAGAAUUGUGCUGGCAUCCAGAAUUUCUUGGUGAUGUGGGGAAGCAUCCACACACACACUAGAAUUGGGUCGGGCAACAUUUCUGGGAUAUCUCAAACCAUACACCAAAAUAAACUCCAAGUGGCUCAAGAUUUACAUGUAAAAAAAUGAAAACCUAAGAGUAUGAGAAGAAAAUACAAGAGGAUUAAUUUAUAAUCUGGGGAAAAGCCUUUGUGAGCAUGACAUAAAACACAGAAGCUACAAAAGGCAAGCUAAGUAUGAACGGUAUGAAUACAUUUUUAAAAUUCUGCUCAGAAAAAAAAAUCGCCAAAUACAAACUCAAAAGUCAUGAAAAACAGGGAACAACUAUUUGCAUUCCAACAAAUAGAUAAGAAAGAGACCAAUAACCCAAUUGAAAAUGGGCAAAGGAUAUGAACAGACAGUUCCCAGGAAAGGAAUUCCAAAUCGCUUUUAAAUAUAUGAAAAUAUGCUCAACCUUCUCCGUAAUAAGGGAAAUGCAAAUUACAACUACCAGAUUGGCAGACAUAAAUUUUGCUAACACCAUGUGGCUAAAGGUUAGAGAAACAGAUGCUCUCACAUAUUGCUGGUGAGAGUACAAACCGGCUCAAUCCCUGGAGAGAACAAUUUGACAAUAUUUAUCAAAAUGCAUGUUUUGGCAGGCACCAUUAGUUUAUACCCCAAAAUCAUUCCUCCAUAUUCCUUGCUAACAGAGUCCAGGUGCUCAGGUGGCAGUGUGCCAAGCUCCAAGCAAUAAGUUUAUUUAUUAAUUCAUUCAUAUUUAUUAAGCUCUUGCUAUGUACGAGGCACUUGCUGUGUACUGGGCUCUGCGGAUACAAUACUGAAUGAAGCGGACCACACUCCAGGCUUCCUAAUAAUCCUGAACCUGAUUGAAAUUCCAGAGCAAAAUGGCAACUGUGGCAUUUUGAUGUACAUUUGAAAUAAUAGAUGACCAUAAGAUUUUUCCUUCAAACUAGGACUUGGGAGUGCAGGGUGGCAAGCACACCCACGGCAUGUGGAAGUUCCCGGGGCGGGGAUAAAAUUUAACAGCUGGAGCAAUGCCAGAUCCUUAACCCACUGAGCCAGUUGGGGGAAUUUUUCCAUACCUCUGCAGCAACCCAGGCCAAUGCAGUUGGAUCCUUAACCCACUAUGCCACAGUGGGAACUCCCAAAUUGAGACACUUUUGAGAGUGAAUAAAGUGCUAUUAAUAAAAUACACUGGGGGAGUUCCCAUCGUGGUUCAGCGGAAACAAAUCUGACUAGUAUCCAUGAGGACACAGAUUCAAUCCCUGGCCUCACUGAGUGGGUUAAGGAUCUGGCAUUGCUGUGAGCUGUGGUGCAGGCCAGUGGCUAUGGCUCGGAUCUGACCCCUAGCCUAGGAACCUCCCUGCAUAGGCUGUGGGCACAGCCAUAAAAAGCAAAAAUAAAGUAAAAUAUACUGGAACAAAGAGGCACAAACUAGGAUUGUCACAAGCAAACUAGGAAAUACGGUCGCUGCUGAUAAUCCUGUUGCCACCAUCUCAGUUUCUGUUCUAAAAUGACUCCACUAGGGAAUUAUGGAAAAAAGUGAGACCCAAAUGAGCUCUGGAGAAGUACGAAUGACAAAUACAUAUGAAAAGACACUCAACCUCUUUAAUUAGGAGGAAAAGCUGGAAUUAAGUCAGCAAUAGGACGCUUUGUAAGAACUUGAGGGAGUUCCCGUCGUGGCGCAGUGGUUAACGAAUCCGACUAGGAACCAUGAGGUUGCAGGUUCGAUCCCUGCCCUUGCUCAGUGGGUUAACGAUCCGGCGUUGCCGUGAGCUGUGGUGUAGGUUGCAGACGCGGCUCGGAUCCCGCGUUGCUGUGGCUCUGGCGUAGGCCGGUGGCUACAGCUCCGAUUAGACCCCUAGCCUGGGAACCUCCAUAUGCCUCAGGUGCAGCCCUAGAAAAGACAAAAAACAUGUAUAUAUAUUUCUUAUGUACCCAGACCACUUUCAUCUAAUUUAUUUGAAACUAAUCCAAAAUAUUGACUUAUGUCUUAAUUUAGAACAAAAUUUGAUUUCCUUAGUUUCAGAACCCAGAAACCGGUGCCAAAUGCUUUGAAAAUUGACUUUAUUAUUGGCUUCAAAAAAAUAUUCAGAUACUGACUUUGUUUUUUUAAAAAUAAGUUUCCAGACCUAUGAUUUCAAAGACUAAACCUGCCAAACUUGUUGGCGUGAGAUUCCUUCCUCUACGAUUCCAGACAUUCUCUUGGCAGCAUCACCAUGUGGGAAAAGCACGGUGUAAAAAUGGCCGUUGUCUCUGUGGGUUACUGUCUGGCUAUACCUCACUCGGACACCAGAGGGCGCGCAAAGGAACAGCGCUUGUUUUUCUUUCAAUCCUGCAUCAAAGUCCGUGCACAAAAUAACAAAAGACUGGGAACACAAGAGCCGGGAGACAAAGGGACAAGGGAAAAAGGCUGCACGCCCUGUUUUACGGCCGGUGAAGUUUGCUUCCUCAUCCACCCACCUCCCCGCCUCAAGGAACUAGAUGUAAACAACUUAAGCUGCAAAAUAAUGAAAUCUUGAACUAACAAAGAAAAUCAAAGAAUAGUCACCCUAGUUCUAGGAAAGACUAUCACAGGUGUGCAUUUGACCUAUCUGCUCUGCUUGAUAUUAGCAACUUUUCCCAAAAAGUAUUCGUUUUUCUGAGUUCAUGAAUAAUACAUGCACAGAGUAGAAAAUAUAGAAAAGCAAAAGAUCAUCAAAUACUCUAACCCAGAGAUAAUUACUAUUAAUAUUUUCGCAUAUUUCUUUCCAGCCUUUUUUCAAUAUCUAGAAAUGCAUAGAAAAACAGUACUCUAUUAUUUUGUGCUGGCUCUUCGCAUUUACUAUAUCACUCUAUUAUUUUGUGCUGGCUCUCUUCCCAUCAACUCCAUCUUUGCCAAUAAAUUCCGGUAACGUAACUUUGCUAAUCACAUGAGUGAAUCAGAGGAGAAAAAGAAAUUUCAAAAGUGCUACAGAUAGCUUUUUCCCCAAGAUAAGAACUCGAAGGCCAAAUUCCGAGUCGCACAUUUGGAGGAGGAAUUUUUCUUUAGCGUUUAGAAAAGGAAGCAGGUAAAGAGCAAAGAAAGGAGAAACUAUUUCAUUCACACCCCAAAUAAGGCGCAUGAACCUGUCCUUCUUGGCUGCCUGAGGAUGACUCCAAGAGGCCAGGAGGGAAAGUAAAUCACUAAGACCGCUUGGUGCUGCCAGUGCGGCCAGCUCAUGCCUUAAGGUCAAAGAGAUCAAUCCUCACAGCUA
rnacentral:lncRNA from 1 species